rnacentral:rRNA from 1 species
UACAGGGGGUGCAAACGUUGCUCGGAAUCAUUGGGCGUAAAGCGCACGUAGGCGGUCUGUUAUGUCGGAUGUGAAAUCCCUCGGCUCAACCGAGGACGUGCAUUCGAAACUGGCAAGCUCGAGUAUGGAAGAGGGUCGCGGAAUUCCCGGUGUAGAGGUGAAAUUCGUAGAUAUCGGGAGGAACACCAGUGGCGAAGGCGGCGACCUGGGCCAAUACUGACACUGAGGAGCGAAAGCGUGGGGAGCGAACAGG